UAAAGUUGCAAAAAUGGUCG
rnacentral:siRNA from 1 species